UUGAACGCUGGCGGCAGGCCUCACACAUGCAAGUCGAGCGGAUGAAGGGAGCUUGCUCCUGGAUUCAGCGGCGGACGGGUGAGUAAUGCCUAGGAAUCUGCCUGGUAGUGGGGGAUAGCGUCCGGAAACGGGCGCUAAUACCGCAUACGUCCUGAGGGAGAAAGCGGGGGAUCUUCGGACCUCACGCUAUCAGAUGAGCCUAGGUCGGAUUAGCUAGUUGGUGGGGUAAAGGCCUACCAAGGCGACGAUCCGUAACUGGUCUGAGAGGAUGAUCAGUCACACUGGAACUGAGACACGGUCCAGACUCCUACGGGAGGCAGCAGUGGGGAAUAUUGGACAAUGGGCGAAAGCCUGAUCCAGCCAUGCCGCGUGUGUGAAGAAGGUCUUCGGAUUGUAAAGCACUUUAAGUUGGGAGGAAGGGCAGUAAGUUAAUACCUUGCUGUUUUGACGUUACCAACAGAAUAAGCACCGGCUAACUUCGU
rnacentral:rRNA from 1 species